UGGAUUAGGGGAGAUGUGAUUGGGCCUUUGCUUCUUGCUGGGCUUAGGAAAGUCCCCGGGCCCGUACUGCAGAAAUGCAGAUCCUGUAAAGGGGUCCUACGAGCUAGAACUUGCGGCUGAGACAUGUGUGGAGCCUAUGCUUGUUCUGCCGUAGUAAUUGGCCAAUUUCACAGUCAUCCACAUGUUCAUCAUCAUGACUAACAGAACGGGGCUUACUCCCUCCUAAUCC
rnacentral:RNase_MRP_RNA from 3 species